UACGUAGGUGGCUAGCGUUGUCCGGAUUUACUGGGCGUAAAGAGCGCGCAGGCGGUCGUUCAAGUCGAGUGUGAAAGCCCCCGGCUCAACUGGGGAGGGUCACUCGAUACUGAUCGACUUGAAGGCGGGAGAGGGAAGCGGAAUUCCCGGUGUAGUGGUGAAAUGCGUAGAUAUCGGGAGGAACACCAGUGGCGAAGGCGAAUCCCUGGAAAAUACCUGACACUGAGGCACGAAAGCUAGGGGAGCAAACAGG
rnacentral:rRNA from 1 species